GAUGAACGCUGGCGGCGUGCCUAAUACAUGCAAGUAGAGCGCUGAAGGAGGAGCUUGCUCUUCUGGAUGAGUUGCGAACGGGUGAGUAACGCGUAGGUAACCUGCCUGGUAGCGGGGGAUAACUAUUGGAAACGAUAGCUAAUACCGCAUGACAACAGUUAUUGCAUGAUAACUGUUUAAAAGGGGCAACUGCUCCACUACCAGAUGGACCUGCGUUGUAUUAGCUAGUUGGUGAGGUAACGGCUCACCAAGGCGACGAUACAUAGCCGACCUGAGAGGGUGAUCGGCCACACUGGGACGGAGACACGGCCCAGACUCCUACGGGAGGCAGCAGUAGGGAAUCUUCGGCAAUGGACGGAAGUCUGACCGAGCAACGCCGCGUGAGUGAAGAAGGUUUUCGGAUCGUAAAGCUCUGUUGUAAGAGAAGAACGAGUGUGAGAGUGGAAAGUUCACACUGUGACGGUAUCUUACCAGAAAGGGACGGCUAACUACGUG
rnacentral:rRNA from 1 species